rnacentral:rRNA from 1 species
GACGAACGCUGGCGGCGUGCCUAAUACAUGCAAGUCGAGCGAGGCUCUUCGGAGUCUAGCGGCGGACGGGUGAGUAACACGUGGGCAACCUGCCUGUAAGACUGGGAUAACACCGGGAGACCGGUGCUAAUACCGGAUAAUCCUUUUCCUCUCAUGAGGAAAAGCUGAAAGUCGGUUUCGGCUGACACUUACAGAUGGGCCCGCGGCGCAUUAGCUAGUUGGUGAGGUAACGGCUCACCAAGGCGACGAUGCGUAGCCGACCUGAGAGGGUGAUCGGCCACACUGGGACUGAGACACGGCCCAGACUCCUACGGGAGGCAGCAGUAGGGAAUCUUCCACAAUGGACGAAAGUCUGAUGGAGCAACGCCGCGUGAGCGAUGAAGGCCUUCGGGUCGUAAAGCUCUGUUGUUAGGGAAGAACAAGUACCGGAGUAACUGCCGGUACCUUGACGGUACCUAACCAGAAAGCCACGGCUAACUACGUGCCAGCCGCCGCAGUAACAC